UUUGCAGCAUGGAGUCCUCUGAUAGUGCUUCAGUCACUGCACUGACAAUUCCACGGGACACUAUUUAGAGCCAUUGUUGACAUCCAUGUCUUCAUCAUCCUGGAAGCCACUCUUUGAAUCCUCAUAAUGUGCAGUGUGUCUCUUCAUUUUGCCCUGGCCUGCUGCUUCUGAGGAGUGCAUGAGUAAUAAAAUGUGCAAG